GGUAGAAUUCCAGGUGUAGCGGUGAAAUGCGUAGAGAUCUGGAGGAAUACCGGUGGCGAAGGCGGCCCCCUGGACGAAGACUGACGCUCAGGUGCGAAAGCGUGGGGAGCAAACAGGAUUAGAUACCCUGGUAGUCCACGCCGUAAACGAUGUCGACUUGGAGGUUGUGCCCUUGAGGCGUGGCUUCCGGAGCUAACGCGUUAAGUCGACCGCCUGGGGAGUACGGCCGCAAGGUUAAAACUCAAAUGAAUUGACGGGGGCCCGCACAAGCGGUGGAGCAUGUGGUUUAAUUCGAUGCAACGCGAAGAACCUUACCUGGUCUUGACAUCCACGGAAGUUUUCAGAGAUGAGAAUGUGCCUUCGGGAACCGUGAGACAGGUGCUGCAUGGCUGUCGUCAGCUCGUGUUGUGAAAUGUUGGGUUAAGUCCCGCAACGAGCGCAACCC
rnacentral:rRNA from 1 species